CCCUUAGAUGUCCUGGGCCGCACGCGCGCUACACUGACAUGUUCAACAAGUUUCUCCUAGUUCGACAGGACUGGGAAAUCUUUGAACGCAUGUCGUGAUAGGGAUAGAUCAUUGCAAUUAUUGAUCUUGAACGAGGAAUUCCUAGUAAACGCGAGUCAUCAGCUCGCAUUGAUUACGUCCCUGCCCUUUGUACACACCACCCGUCGCACCUACCGAUUGAAUGUUUCGGUGAAGAUUCCGGAUAGGACUGAUUUGAUUUAUUUCAUUUCUGACCUAAAAGCUAUCUAAACCUCAACAUUUAGAGGAAGGUGAAGUCGUAACA
rnacentral:rRNA from 1 species